GAAAAUCUAAGGUUUCCUGGGGAAGGCUCGUCCGCCCAGGGUAAGUCGGGACCUAAGGUGAGGCCGAAGGGCGUAGCCGAUGGACAGCAGGUUAAGAUUCCUGCACCAGUAUACAUGUAUAAUGCAUAAGAGGACACAUUUGAAGAAGGUGAGCGAGGAAGAGGAAAAACUCGUAUGGCAACAUAUAGUGAAAUCAAGUAACGAAUCAUCAAGAGGCAAGUGGCGAGAAAAGUCUUAUGUAGUUGUGUAGACUGCCCGUACCGCAAACCGACACAGGUAGAUGAGGAGAGGAUCCUAAGACGAGCGGGAGAAGCAUUGUUAAGGAACUCGGCAAAUUGACCCCGUAACUUAGGGAUAAGGGGUGCUGGUGUAAAAGCCAGUCGCAGUAAAUAGGCCCAAGCAACUGUUUAACAAAAACACAGGUUUCUGCUAAAUCGCAAGAUGAAGUAUAGGAGCUGACUCCUGCCCAGUGCUGGAAGGUUAAGGGGAAAGGUUAAGAAUAAUUCAUUAUAUCUGAAGCUUUGAACUCAAGCCCCAGUGAACGGCGGCCGUAACUAUAACGGUCCUAAGGUAGCGAAAUUCCUUGUCAGGUAAGUUCUGACCCGCACGAAAGGCGUAAUGAUUUGGGCACUGUCUCAACAAUGUACCCGGCGAAAUUGUAGUACUAGUGAAGAUGCUAGUUACCUGCGACAAGACGGAAAGACCCCAUGGAGCUUUACUAUAGCCUGAUAUUGGGCUUUGGUAUCUUAUGUACAGGAUAGGUGGGAGACUAUGAGAUUAAGACGCAAGUCUUAAAGGAGUCAACCUUGGAAUACCACCCUUAAGAUAUUAGAGUUCUAACUUGUGAUCAUAAACUGGUCAGAGGACAUUGUCAGGUGGGUAGUUUGACUGGGGCGGUCACCUCCUAAAGAGUAACGGAGGUGCGCAAAGGUUUCCUCGGCACGGUCAGAAAUCGUGCUAAUGAGUGUAAAGGCAUAAGGAAGCUUAACUGAGAGAGAGACAUCUCGACCAGAUACGAAAGUAGGUCUUAGUGAUCCGGUGGUAGAAAAUGGAAUUGCCAUCGCUCAACGGAUAAAAGUUACCCUGGGGAUAACAGGCUUAUCUCCCCCAAGAGUUCACAUCGACGGGGAGGUU
rnacentral:rRNA from 1 species